CCAGAAAUGUCAUACCUGUUUCAAUGUUUAUUAUCGACUUAUAUUGAAUUUAAAAAAAUAAUGUUACACUAUAUAUAAAUGUAAUACAUUAAAUUAGCAAAUUUAUGUAUUUGAGAUAAAGGUGACAUAAAAUGUUGAUACAUGAAGGCUGAAUAAUCAUUUCAUACAACAAAUUACAAGAAAACUGAACUUUGACUAAUAAAUCA
rnacentral:lncRNA from 1 species